GAUGAUAUAGCUCAAGUGGUAGAGUGUAUGCUUAGCAUGCAUGAGGUCUUGGGUUCAAUCCCCACUACCUUUA
rnacentral:tRNA from 1 species